UACGGGGGGGGCAAGCGUUGUUCGGAAUUACUGGGCGUAAAGGGCUCGUAGGCGGCCAACUAAGUCAGACGUGAAAUCCCUCGGCUUAACCGGGGAACUGCGUCUGAUACUGGAUGGCUUGAGUUUGGGAGAGGGAUGCGGAAUUCCAGGUGUAGCGGUGAAAUGCGUAGAUAUCUGGAGGAACACCGGUGGCGAAGGCGGCGUUCUGGACUGUAACUGACACUGAUGAACGAAAGCCAGGGGAGCAAACGGG
rnacentral:rRNA from 1 species